rnacentral:tRNA from 1 species
GCCCAGGUGGUGAAAUUGGUAGACACGCCGGUCUUAGGAACCGGUGCCUAUGGCGUGGAGGUUCGAGUCCUCUCUUGGGCACCA